rnacentral:rRNA from 1 species
UACAGAGGUCUCAAGCGUUGUUCGGAUUCAUUUGGGCGUAAAGGGUGCGUAGGCGGCGCGGUAAGUCGGGUGUGAAAUCUCGGGAGCUUAACUCCGAAACUGCAUUCGAUACUGCCGUGCUUGAGGACUGGAGAGGAGACUGGAAUUUACGGUGUAGCGGUGAAAUGCGUAGAUAUCGUAAGGAAGACCAGUGGCGAAGGCGGGUCUCUGGACAGUUUCCGUGACGGCUGAGGCACGAAGGUCAGGGGAGCAAAACGGG